rnacentral:lncRNA from 1 species
CUUUCGGAGAACUAUUUCAUGAUUAAUAAAAUAUCUAGUCCUGUUCAUUUAUUUAAGACAAUACUAAUCGUUUUUGAGUUUUGAGUUUACAUAGAAUCGUAAAUAUGUAAUAAAAUUAUUGAAAUGCUUAAAAAAAUUGUUUGUAACAGGGAAUUGACAUUGAAACCAUGAAUUCCAUCUGUGAUGUUGUAUCAAAUAGCUUUCCAUAUUCUCG